CUAGGCGGAGGAUUUUUAGAACAGAGUGAUUAACACUUGACCAUCCUUCAGUGACUAGCAUAGCAGUAUAUCUUCAGUCCUUUUCUGAUUUAUUUUCCCUUUCAUGCUUGUGGACAAAUAAAUUCAUCAAAUUCGAUUAGAUUUAAUGGAACGAUAUUAUACAAAAACGGAAUUAUAUGGAACAUUUCCACCAUGUCCUCUGUACUUAUAUAAAAUACAGUUUGCAGACUUAUAGUACUACGCUACCUCUUAAUUUUGCAGUUCCAUGCAAUUGCAUCGACCCGUGGCUGAAGAGCAGGGAACAUGUCCUAUUUGUAAAUUUAAAUUGGUAGGAUGGCACAACAACGUUUGGUGGAAUCGAUGCUUCUUUUUAUGGUUUAAAGACUCGAGCACUUCCCUGGAUUAAUAUUUACAGAUCUUAGAUAUAAAAAUACACCAUGUACCUUGAUAGAAAGAAGAGAUUCCAUAGGUUAUAUAUCUAGAUGUGGUGUAACUGCUAACACACGCACACAUGGAAUUUCAGAGCACUUUGUCAAUCAACCCAGAAGUUGUCUAAUUGUAUUGUGUGCCUGGAUCACAUUGUGGAUGUGAAACCAUGUCACAUCAAAGGUUUGUGCCUAGCCGACUGCUGAGAAAUCACGAGCAAUACCUUUGUCAACUUGCAGCUCGUGAGGGCCCAUUGGCACAGUGUAUAUGGUUCAUCGUCUUUACAUUCGUACGCUCUCCCCGACUCUCUCUCUCUCUAACCUUUUGUUGUUCUUAAUUUCUUCUCUCUUCAAGAUCCAGCAGCCAGUCACGC
rnacentral:lncRNA from 1 species